rnacentral:rRNA from 1 species
UACGUAGGGGGCAAGCGUUAUCCGGAUUUACUGGGUGUAAAGGGAGCGUAGACGGUGUGCCAAGUCUGAAGUGAAAGCCCGGGGCUCAACCCCGGAACUGCUUUGGAAACUGGUGUACUGGAGUGCAGGAGAGGUAAGCGGAAUUCCUAGUGUAGCGGUGAAAUGCGUAGAUAUUAGGAGGAACACCAGCGGCGAAGGCGGCUUACUGGACUGUAACUGACGUUGAGGCUCGAAGGCGUGGGGAGCAAAC